UACGUAGGUGGCAAGCGUUGUCCGGAAUUACUGGGCGUAAAGGGCGUGUAGGCGGUCCUUUAAGUCAGACGUGAAAUCCCUGGGCUUAACACAGGAACUGCGUUUGAAACUGGAGGACUUGAGGACCGGAGAGGGUAGCGGAAUUCCCAGUGUAGCGGUGAAAUGCGUAGAUAUUGGGAGGAACACCAGUGGCGAAGGCGACUACCUGGACGGCACCUGACGCUGAGGCGCGAAAGCUAGGGGAG
rnacentral:rRNA from 1 species